rnacentral:rRNA from 1 species
AACGUAGGUGGCGAGCGUUAUCCGGAUUCAUUGGGCGUAAAGCGCUUGUAGGUGGCUUGGUAAGUUGGACGUGAAAUCUCCCGGCUUAACCGGGAGGGGUCGUUCAAUACUGCCGGGCUGGAGGAUGUCAGAGGGCAGCGGAAUUCCUGGUGUAGCAGUGAAAUGCGUAGAUAUCAGGAGGAACACCCGUGGCGAAGGCGGCUGCCUGGGGCAUACCUGACACUGAGAAGCGAAAGCUAGGGGAGCGAAC